GUCGAUAGCUCAGUUGGUAGAGCAUGAGACUCUUUAUCUCAGAGUCGUGGGUUUGAGCCCUGCUUUGGGCA